rnacentral:rRNA from 1 species
UACGUAGGGUGCGAGCGUUAAUCGGAAUUACUGGGCGUAAAGCGUGCGCAGGCGGUUUUGUAAGCCAGAUGUGAAAUCCCCGGGCUCAACCUGGGAAUGGCAUUUGGGACUGCAAGGCUGGAGUGCGGCAGAGGAGACUGGAAUUCCUGGUGUAGCAGUGAAAUGCGUAGAUAUCGAGAGGAACACCUGCGGCGAAGGCGGGUUGCUGGGCUGACACUGACGCUGAUGCGCGAAAGCCAGGGGAGCGAACGGG